rnacentral:rRNA from 1 species
UAGGGAAUCUUCCGCAAUGGGCGAAAGCCUGACGGAGCAACGCCGCGUGAGUGAUGAAGGUCUUCGGAUCGUAAAACUCUGUUAUUAGGGAAGAACAAAUGUGUAAGUAACUAUGCACGUCUUGACGGUACCUAAUCAGAAAGCCACGGCUAACUACGUGCCAGCAGCCGCGGCAAUACGUAGGUGGCAAGCGCUAUCCGGAAUUAUUGGGCGUAAAGCGCGCGUAGGCGGUUUUUUAAGUCUGAUGUGAAAGCCCACGGCUCAACCGUGGAAGGUCAUUGGAAACUGGAAAACUUGUGUGCAGAAGAGGAAAGUGGAAUUCCAUGUGUAGCGGUGAAAUGCGCAGAGAUAUGGAGGAACACCAGUGGCGAAGGCGACUUUCUGGUCUGUAACUGACGCUGAUGUGAGAAAGCGUGGGGAUCAAACAGG